AUUGAACGCUGGCGGCAGGCCUAACACAUGCAAGUCGAGCGGAUGAGUGGAGCUUGCUCCAUGAUUCAGCGGCGGACGGGUGAGUAAUGCCUAGGAAUCUGCCUGGUAGUGGGGGACAGCGUUUCGAAAGGAACGCUAAUACCGCAUACGUCCUACGGGAGAAAGUGGGGGAUCUUCGGACCUCACGCUAUCAGAUGAGCCUAGGUCGGAUUAGCUGGUUGGUGAGGUAAAGGCUCACCAAGGCGACGAUCCGUAACUGGUCUGAGAGGAUGAUCAGUCACACUGAAACUGAGACACGGUCCAGACUCCGUACGGGAGGCAGCAGGUGGGGAAUUAGUUGGAACAAGUGGGACGAAAGCCUGACUCCAGCCAUCGCCGCGUGUGU
rnacentral:rRNA from 1 species